AAAAGCAGAGGAUGCUGGUGAUGUAAGUGCAUGUUUCUGCUAGUCUCUAAAUAUUUUUGAAGUGGCAGAAUUCUGACUGGCAACUUAAUUAGCAAUUUAUAUACAAUAAUGAUUUCAAAGAAUGCUCAGGAUUUCCAUUAAAUCAUUUAGAAAGAAGUAUCAAUUACUUGGUGCUCAUAAAUUUACUUCCAGAUAUCUAUGGAAACAUUGUUUGCCUUAGGACUUUAAAGGAAUUGAUGGACAAUCGAGGGACAAUGGGAAGUUGGGAACCUUUUUUAUAGGUGAAUUCUUUGGGUUCAGUUUAGGAUUAUGGAAGGGCCAUUUCUAUCAUUUGUAUGAUGAUUGGUUCUUUUUUUUUGUCUUGGCUUGAAAUUGCAAUAAAAAGGUUAAAAAGGUGAGAGUAAUUAUGCCAUGCACCCUAAAUCAGCUUUAAUUAAAAGCAAGAGAAAAACUUCUCUCUCUUUGCAUUUCACCU
rnacentral:misc_RNA from 1 species